CCUCUCCUGCACUGGCGGAGGCUGUGCUGCACAAGAAGACUGAGCAUUGAUAUAGUCUCCUAAGUGCGACAGGAUGAUGGAAGACAGUGGCGGCGCCGAGAUGUGGGAGGCCGCGAGGUGCGACCAAAAAGAUCGCUCGUUGUGACAAAUUUCCUUUCUGCGCCGGGAAUGAUAUAAGGGUAGAAAAGUUGGGGGCUGAGGAAGGGACAGGAGGCGACAAUUUGGCUCUGAACUUGCCUCAGUAUCAGCCUUAGUAUCCGACUAACCUUUCUCCCGUCCUCAUCCUCCACUGUAAUAUCCUUCUUCAUAUGACUUGCUGAGCGGGAAGGGACUGCCACUUUACCUCGAGGCCUUCACACCUGGCCACUCAAGUAGAAGCCUGAUGCUGCUGGAGUGGUCUUCCUCAGUGCUCGCUGCUUUUGACGGUGCUGAAGUCACAGGCAAGAGGAGAAAACAGUCAAGCACCACACAUCCAAGUAGCAACCCGGUGUUUAGGGGUAGUAGGAAGCAAACGCUCAGCUACUUCACAGGUCCAGUAGCACAACAGCCUAGAAAGUUAUGAUCAGUGAGGCAGCAAGAAUGGCAGCCUAGCUAUGACCUUCAAUGCAAGAUGACGCCACUAUAAACACUAUAAAAACAUUUGAAAAUAGCCCAUCCCAAUCCUUUCAAUGAUAUUCUAGUGAAGGAAGAGUAAGUUUACCAAGUUAGUUAAGUCUUAGGGCCAUAUCAAACAUUUCAUCACUCAAGCAUACAUUUGUCAAGACUUUCGUAGGAGGGUGGUAGUUUUCUGACCCAGGGGUAGUUUGCCAAGACUUCUGUAUACUAUUAAAGUGAAAAACAAAUUAAUGCAUUUAACUUUUUUGGCCUUUAGAAAUCGAUUUGAAUCAAAAGGAAUGUACACUUUGACUAGAUUGACUAGUCAGAAGUGAAGGUUCGUCAGGCAGUUAGCAAUGGAGCAGCCAGGAGAGAUAUAAUUUUAAAAGCUUUAGUCAUAUAAGGGACAGUAUAGCAGAGUGACUUUGUAUCUAAUCCUUUCAGCUAUAUGUUCAAGCAAUUAAGUUGAAAAUUUAAACUAGUGAAUAUUUAGACAUGAUUUUAACAGCAAGCAACACUAAAAAUGAAGACCAGUGUAUUAUUAUCAAAUAAAUUAAUCUUUAGUGAAUGUUCUGUCUCUAACCUCCAACACUAAAGACAAAUGGAAGAGUUAGUUCAAAUUUAGUUUCAACAGAAAGCAACACUAAAAUUAUAAAGAUUAGUGUAUUAACCUCUAAAAAAUAAAUAAUAAAUCUAAAGUGAAUAUUUGUUUAUAACCACCACUAAAAAAUGCAAGUUCAACAAAUCCACCACAAGCCUUCUUAAGAUAAAAAAAAAAAUCUAUUGCUUUAAUUAUAAUCUUUGAAGGUCUAAUUAACACACUUCUACACUAGAGAUCUCACUGAAAACACCAAGACAUAUCCACCACUAGCCUUCCUAAGAUAAAUAUAAACUAACCUAUAUUAUAUGCCUAUUAUAAUCAUUUGAAGGCCUGACCAACAAGAUCACUCCUACACUCGACAUCACUGAAAACCAAAGUACUAACAAAUCCACCACUAGCUUUGGGAGAUAUAAAACGGGUAGACAGAACUUUAUAACUAGCAUAUUUGAAGGCCUGACCAAAAGAAUUAUCAUUCCUAUACAGGAUAUCAUUAAGAGAUUGUGUAUACGAAACCAAAAAAUAAUUAC